rnacentral:rRNA from 1 species
AUUGAACGCUGGCGGAAUGCUUUACACAUGCAAGUCGAGCGGCAGCGCGGGGCAACCUGGCGGCGAGCGGCGAACGGGUGGGUAAUGUAUCGGAACGUGUCCUGUAGUGGGGGAUAGCCCGGCGAAAGCCGGAUUAAUACCGCAUACGAUCUAUGGAUGAAAGCAGGGGAUCGCAAGGACCUUGCGCUAUAGGGAGCGGC